rnacentral:rRNA from 1 species
UUCGUUCGCAUAGAAGCAGUGUCCUGCGGAGGAUCAUUACCGAAUUAGUCAACACGAGUUGUUGCUGGUCCUCGAACGGGGGCACGUGCACGCUCUGUUUACAUAUCCACUCACACCUGUGCACCCUCUGUGGUUCUAUGGCUUGGGGGGCUCUGUCCUCCUGUCGUGGUUCUACGUCUUUACACACACUCUGGAAUAAAGUCUCAUGGAAUGUAUGCCGCGUUUAACGCAAUACAAUACAACUUUCAGCAACGGAUCUCUUGGCUCUCGCAUCGAUGAAAAACGCAGCGAAAUGCGAUAAGUAAUGGGAAUUGCAGAAUUCAGUGAAUCAUCGAAUCUUUGAACGCACCUUGCGCCCUUUGGCUAUUCCGAAGGGCAUGCCUGUUUGAAUAUCAUGAACACCUCAACUCUCAUGGUUUGCCAUGAUGAACUUGGACUUUGGGGGUCUUGCCGGCCUGGGGUCGGCUCCUCUCAAAUGAAUCAACUUCCCAGUGUUUGGUGGCGUCCCAGGUGUGAUAACUAUCUACGCUUGUGGUUUUCCACCAAAAAACCUUCAGUGAUGGAGGUUCGCUGGAGCUCAUAAACGUCUCUCCUCAGCGAAGACCGCUCUGUGAACGUUUGAUCUCAAAUCAGGUAGGACUACCCGCUGGACUUAAGCAUAUCAAUAAGUGGAGGGAUUAUUUCUGGUCAAAUAUCGGGGGAAAACUCUCUAAAAUUUAUAAUAUAUAUGUAGGCGAAAAAAUUAUAAGAGUCGGG